UACGUAGGGGGCUAGCGUUGUCCGGAAUCAUUGGGCGUAAAGCGCGUGUAGGCGGUCCGGUAAGUCCGCUGUGAAAGUCGGGGGCUCAACCCUCGGAUGCCGGUGGAUACUGUCGGGCUUGAGUACGGAAGAGGCGAGUGGAAUUCCUGGUGUAGCGGUGAAAUGCGCAGAUAUCAGGAGGAACACCGGUGGCGAAGGCGGUGAUCUGGGCCGACACUGACGCUGUAGAGCGAAAGCGUGGGGAGCGAACAGGA
rnacentral:rRNA from 1 species